UGGACGUCAACAUAAAUACAUUGUGAGGUGCACGGCACCUUGUACAUGCACAUCGGGCCAUUUGUUAUAUUGAAUUGGAAUCCCAAAUUGUUAAAUCUUGACUUAUCGGCCAUCGUGUUAAUGCGCAGAAACUCUUUCCCCAACAGAUGAUGAUUCAGUGUUUAGGUUAUACGACGAUACUUCCCCAAGAGACUCAUAAUCUCAUUGAAACGUAGGAGGUUCAAUUGUUUAAAGUACAGUUUUUACUUUUUAAUAAGAACAACUGGCAUAGAUGAAGUGUAUUUUUUUUUACCAAGUUAAUGAAAUCCUCGCCAUAAUAAUAAAUACAAUACAUGUGUAUUUUUUUAAAAUCCAAACAGCUGUUAAUGUCAUACUCCUCUGUGCAUCAAGCACCCAACUUCCUUUCUUGUUGUGGUCCAAUAAAUAAAUGGAUUUAGCAUUUUACAAUGGGUGUGCUUAAAUAGAUUACGAACUGACAGCAAUUUCAUUACCCUUGCUAUUUUUACACCAUCUCCCCGGGGAAGUUCAGAUGGAGCAGCUCCGGGAUAAAGAUGUCAUCAAGACCUAUUGUCUUUAACUAGAAGAUCCGAAAUAUCAACCGUUUCAAGAUAUCUCGCUCCAAAAGACCAAAUCCUUUGAUACUCGAUGAAAAUAAUUUCCACCCUCAUCUUGUGGGAGAAUCACGGUCAACAUUGCGGCUAAAGCGAGAAUCAUCUCACCUGGUCUGGGUGCCACCUGCCUGCGCCUGCGUACACGCCAGGAAUGUCAGAAUCUAACAGCCUGUCUCAGCACUGAUGGAUUUACAACAGAUAUGUACCUCUGCAGCCAGACCUUCCAUCAGUUUCCA